GACGAACGCUGGCGGCGUGCUUAACACAUGCCAGUCGAACGGAAAGGCCCUGCUUUUGUGGGGUGCUCGAGUGGCGAACGGGUGAGUAACACGUGAGUAACCUGCCCUUGACUUUGGGAUAACUUAAGGAAACUGGGGCUAAUACCGGAUAGGAGCUCCUGCUGCAUGGUGGGGGUUGGAAAGUUUCGGCGGUUGGGGAUGGACUCGCGGCUUAUCAGCUUGUUGGUGGGGUAGUGGCUUACCAAGGCUUUGACGGGUAGCCGGCCUGGGAGGGUGACCGGCCACAUUGGGACUGAGAUACGGCCCAGACUCCUACGGGAGGCAGCAGUGGGGAAUAUUGCACAAUGGGCGGAAGCCUGAUGCAGCAACGCCGCGUGCGGGAUGACGGCCUUCGGGUUGUAAACCGCUUUCGCCUGUGACGAAGCGUGAGUGACGGUAAUGGGUAAAGAAGCACCGGCUAACUACGUG
rnacentral:rRNA from 1 species